UCAUAAAAUUGAUUUCCCAGCUGUAUAGGUGGGUCGAGCCAUUGUUAACAAUGAGGAUUACGCCAGGAACAGAAUAGUCAAUAAUAUCAUAUUAGACAAAAAGAUUGUAGACGUUGUCGCAGGACAGGACCACAGCCUACUAAUAGAUGAGGAUGGGGGUGUGUGGGGAGCAGGCUGGGGGGCAGACGGUCAAACGGGUCUACAGCAUUAUAAUAAUACUCAACACUUUACUAAACUAGAAGGAGAUAUAAAGAAUGAGAAAAUGAGGAAAAUUUCUUGCAGAGCUGAUUGUGUUUUGGCGCUUAAUGACAAGGUGAAUAGUGACACACCAUUAAAUAAUUAAUAUUUUUUAAUAAGUAAGGAUUUAUUUUCGAUUGAAUUUGAUAAUAUUAACCGAUUCUUAAUUCUUCACGGGUCUUAUGCCAAUGUCAUAUAGAAUACUUAACAAACAAGCUUUGUUUAUUUACAGUAUUAUUAAAACAAAAAAUAAUCCGACCCUUACAAAAAUUUUAAGACAAGCAUUAGAAUACCCAGCAGAUGCUUACACAAAGUCAUGGAUGAAAAUAGAAGCUCAAGUUGGUUUAAUUGCAAACUAUGCUAAAAAAACUCACUUGCAAGCUGCGCUUACACAAAAAGCAGUGGCAUUUGUAUUGAGUGUUAAAAGGCAACACUCUACUUUAAACACAACCCCCCAGCCUUGGCACUGGUUUAAAAUGCAAGAUCAUGUAAAUGAUUCAAAGGCAAAUAAAAUGUUAUGCCAAAUCAGGGGAGGAAAUGCUCAAUUAGGCAAUAGAUACAAAAAUAGAUAUGGUUUUAAAUAUGAAUUUUGCCCACACUGCGAAACAUUUGGCGUUCAUAUUAAACUAGUUGAAUCUCAUGUUAUUUUUGAAUGUCCAAUGGUAGCCUCACUCCGACGCGAGUUAAAGUUAUCUAAUUACAUGGCUGCACACAAGGCCAAGGGACCAAUAGCAAAUGUUAAAAUACUAAGAAGUUACCUUGGCGGAGAUGGUUCAAAGGGGAAAUCCCUAAUGGAAAGAGGUAGAAAGUUGAAGAAAAUUAUUGAAACAUGGCUAACAGCGGUACAUGAACCAGCUCUUUUCUAAUAAUAAAAAAAAAAAAAAAAUAAAAAACGUAGGAAGCCAAGUUUAUACUUAUUUAACAUUUUAUUACCC